rnacentral:tRNA from 1 species
GCCUCGGUAGCUCAGUUGGUAGAGCAAUGGACUGAAAAUCCAUGUGUCGCCGGUUCGAUUCCGGCCUGAGGCA